AACGAACGCUGGCGGCAGGCUUAACACAUGCAAGUCGAACGCAUCCUUCGGGGUGAGUGGCAGACGGGUGAGUAACGCGUGGGAACGUGCCCUUCAGUUCGGGAUAACCCAGGGAAACUUGGGCUAAUACCGGAUACGUGCGAGAGCAGAAAGAUUUAUCGCUGAAGGAUCGGCCCGCGUCUGAUUAGCUAGUUGGUGGGGUAAUGGCCCACCAAGGCGACGAUCAGUAGCUGGUCUGAGAGGAUGAUCAGCCACAUUGGGACUGAGACACGGCCCAAACUCCUACGGGAGGCAGCAGUGGGGAAUAUUGGACGAGGGGCGCAAGCCUGAUCCAGCCAUGCCGCGUGAGUGAUGAAGGCCUUAGGGUUGUAAAGCUCUUUCGUCCGGGACGAUAAUGACGGUACCGGAAGAAGAAGCCCCGGCUAACUUCGUGCCAGCAGCCGCGGUAA
rnacentral:rRNA from 1 species